CUCCGCUUGGUGUAGUUGGUUUAUCACGUUCGGCUGUAAUGUCUUAUGCUACCGAAAGGUCCCUAGUUCGAUUCUGGGAGCGGAGA
rnacentral:tRNA from 1 species